rnacentral:ncRNA from 1 species
CAAAGGUUUGGUCCCAACUUUGUUAUCAGCUCUAUGCUAAGCUUACACAUGCGAGUAUCCGCACCCCGGUGAGAAUGCCCCACAGUCACCCUUUCGGAGACAAGGAGCUGGUAUCAGGCACACACUAAAUGUAGCCCACGACACCUUGUUUAGCCACACCCCCAAGGGGUCCCAGCAGUGACAAACAUUAGGCCAUAAGCGAAAGCUUGACCUAGUGAAAGCUAAGAGGGCCGGUAAAAACUCGUGCCAGCCACCGCGGUUAGACGGGAAUGGCCCAAGUUGAUAGCCAGCGGCGUAAAGAGUGGUUAAGACGAACGAAUACUAAAGCCGAACACCUCCCAGGCUGUAAUACGCCCCCGGAGGGAAUGAAGCCCAUCCGCGAAAGUAGCUUUACAACAUCUGAUUCCACGAAAGCUAGGGCACAAACUGGGAUUAGAUACCCCACUAUGCCUAGCCACAAACAUUGACAGUUUUAUACACCUACUGUCCGCCCGGGUACUACGAGCGCUAGCUUAAAACCCAAAGGACUUGGCGGUGCUUUAGACCCCCCUAGAGGAGCCUGUUCUAGAACCGAUUAUCCCCGUUCAACCUCACCCCUCCUUGUUCCUAUCCCGCCUAUAUACCACCGUCGUAAGCUUACCCUGUGAGGGUCCGCUAGUGAGCAAAACUGGUCUGUUCCCAAAACGUCAGGUCGAGGUGUAGCGAAUGGAGGGGAAAGAAAUGGGCUACAUUCCCUAAAUCAGGGAACUACGAAUGAUGUACUGAAACACACAUCUGAAGGAGGAUUUAGCAGUAAGCAGAAAAUAGAGCGUUCAGCUGAAGCCGGCCCUGAAGCGUGCACACACCGCCCGUCACUCUCUCCAAACUUCUUCAACCUAGUAACUUAAAACGAAACUAUUCGUGAAGGGGAGGCAAGUCGUAACAUGGUAAGUGUACCGGAAGGUGCACUUGGAAGAAGA